UGGAUCAAUUGCAUACAAUGCCAAGGGUGCGUUAAUAAAGGCUAUCAUGGGGUAUUUCAUAUUUGUUUCUUGAUUUUUGUGGUAUCUUUAAUUCAUACUUAUAAUUUUUACUUUCAAAAACCUUAUUCAGCCUCAUAUAUGUUAGAAAUGAGGUUUCAUAUGAAGAAAAACAGAGAGCAAAUAUGGUAGCCAUGGAAACAUUAUCCUCAUCAAUUGCAUUGCUGCAGAGAGAAGAAAACCCAACAGUUGGUACCUACUGAGGAUCAUAUCUAUGAAUUAAUGGAGCCUACAAACAUUGAGUUGCAUGCCACUGCAAUGCUUUCACUACCCCCUGGUGAAUGUAUGUAUCCUGAUCCCACAUUUGUGCACGUCUCUCACAAGCGCUUUUUAUUCGUCAUUAAGUGAUCAAGUUGUAUUAGAGCACUAGUUGCAGGAAUGAACACUUUUCUAAAUACAAAAGGCUGAUAAAUAUAUAAAUUUAUCAUUUCUGCUUAACUAUCCAAUUCCAGCUUCUUUGCUCGAUCUUCCACCAGGAUUCGAAGAACAUUUGUAGAUGAAGCGAUCAGUGGAUCAUAAUUCAACCGAUAAUCUUGACUCUUUUGCCCAAUCAACAAGAAGAAGAGGCUAUUGAGGUUCUCUUCAAUAGACAAGAUGAG